rnacentral:lncRNA from 1 species
GACCUGCCUGCCUCUUGUGGUCUUAGACUCUCUUUUCCAAACACAACAAACUCACCGCCACACACUGCCCUUCCUGCGACCUUGAAUCCAGAGACCACCAGGCCCAAAAGCCACCUGGAGGAUUUCACUACUGUCUCUGUGGUGGUCAGAAGGGCUGAGAGCAGAACGCAGGAGCCAGAAGACAAUGUCAGAACCCCUUGGAACUGGAGUUACAGACAGGUAGGGAAUCCACAACAGACCAAAGCAUGGAUACGCCCCAAGUCCAACGUGGUGAACCGAUGAAUCUCCAAAGCACAACCUAGACACAGGUGACAUCUCUGGGAACCUGAGCACAAGACACAGCUUCAGCGAGCUCAGCAGGUUGUUUCAGAAGUUUAGUCCAUUAUCAAAAUGGCACUGAGUAUGAAGACACACAGGCAGACAGGAUGCUGGAGAAGGAGCUGAGAGUUCUGUAUCUGGAUCCGUGGACAGCAGGAGAGACACUGGGACUGGCUUGGAUUUUUGAAACAUCAAAGGAUGCCUGCUUCCCACGUGUGGGGACAGAGGUGCAGAAAAGCAUUUCCCUGAUAUCAAGAUGACAACAUGACCAACUCUGUAGCACCUCACAGAUGAUUUCUACCAGCCUUAGCUACGGAAACCGCACCCCAAGAAGAGCUUUGAAUUAGCCAUAUCCAGAGACCUGAUUCUGCGCACCCAGCACAGAACAAACACCCUUCCCCCAGAGGUCCACUCUAGAUGAGAGAGCUUCCCCAGGGGUUGCUAGCCGCACCUAACUGUCAUAAAGGAUGCUGGCCCCAGAGCUCAGAGCACACCUCCAUUGCACCUCGGUGCCUGCCCCAUGUCUGAGCCCAUGAGUUCUCAUCAGUAUCGCCUCCAGUCUUUUGGGCCUGCUUGGGACCUUUACUUUCUUGGGCUGUGGAACCAUAAUGUACUGACCUCGAAACCAGUCCUGGCUGGGUUACAGCCAGGACAACAAACUUGUUUCCACUGGAGAGCCUGGGUGCAUUCUAGUAGCAGUGAUUUAACCAAAGACCACCCAGACCUGAUUUUACUCACUGCCCCUUGCUACGUCUGAAGGUCUGGGGAAAGCACCCACCUUGGCCUGAGGUGUGUGGCUAUUAGCCUUUCCAGGAAAGUGACGGUGGCAACCGUGGUUAUAAACGUGACCAGUUAACAGAACCUAGCAGCCCUGCCUUCUGUCUGUGCCAGGGUGGAAGCCAGUGGCCCGAGCCGACCAGAAGAUCGCCUGAGCCGAGCAGAUGAGCCAGAGCCAAUCAGAGGAGCACCUGACUCCCAGCUUUAUAUUACCAUUUUUUCCUUUUAAUUUCUUCUUCUCACAUAUAUUACAUCCUGACCACAGUUUCCCCUUCGUCCCCUCCCCCUAGUCUCUUCUCCUUUCACCUUUGCUCAGAAAAGAGCACACCACUCCAGAGCAUCAACCAGACAUGCACAACAAGCUACAGUAAGUAAGACAGGCACAUAUUCUCACAUCGAGGCUGGGCAAGGCCACCCAGUAGGAGGAAAUGAGCCCCAAAGGCAGGCAGAAGAGCCAGAGAGAGCCCCUGUUCCCACUCUUAGGACAAGACCUAGCUCAGACCCCUGCAGGUUCCCUGAUCUCUUUGAGCCCCGUGAGUCCUGGUCAGUUGAUUCUGUGGGCCCUUUUGUGUGAUGUCCUUGAUCCCUGCGGCUACUCCAGCCCUUCUUCCCCCUCUUCUGCAGGACCCCCGAGCUCCGCCUAGCGUUUGGCUGUGGGACAGUGCACCUGUUCCCAUCAGUUGCUUCAUGAAGUCUCCCUGGUCUCUCUGGGGACGAUGAUGCCAGAUUUAAUAACGGGAUGCUACACUCUACAUUUCAUGAAGCAUAUUCAUUAUUUGGUGAUCUCUGCACCUGGGUCACUAGUCCAUCAAUGUCUUCAUUCACAGUUUCCUGUCAAAACUGCUUUUUUUUUUCCUUCGCAGGCAUCAGCUGGACCCCAAGGUGGGGUCUAGGCACUCCAAACCUUCAUGAACCUACACCUUAGUAGCUAUCCUUAUUUCUUUUGUUUUUCUAGAUGACGCUUUAUUACUUCCUUCCAGCUGUUCUUGGUCAGCCACAGCACCUGCCAUGCUGGCCAGGCACCCACCCUCUGGCCCAUCAUCCCCAUCUGCGCUGGAGCUCAGCAGCCAUGCGAGAGAACUGACCAAACUCACGGAGCAGGCACUUGGCUCAGUCGGGACCAGUCGCUGCUGUGAAUCACCCUCUCACAAGAAGUACCACCACUGUCCUCAUCGUGGUGACGAAGUCCCCGGCACUGGCAUCUUGAGGAAGACUUCACUUUGGCUCACAGUUUGAGGGCACAGCAUGGAGGCGCAGGUGUCAGGCGCUCUCUCGGGGUUGUUGUGUACCCUAUACCUGGGGAACCUGUCUGUGGGAUUGGUGCCAUCCACGGCCAGAGAGGGGCUUCCUUCCUCAGUUAAGCCGUUCUGGAAGCACUCUCAUAGUCCUGUCCAGAUUACGUUUCUCAUCAAGCCGAUGAAGAAACGCAAGCGGCAGGUGCUUAUGACGUUCUUGGGUCAUUUGCCGCCCUCGUCCCUCCUCUCACAGGUUCCUUUUGUCUUUCAAGAUAGCCUCCUGUGUUUUGUGGAUUUUGUUUGUUUGUUUGUUGUUGUUUUAAUUAAGGUGGGAUUUCAUUAUGGAGCCCUGGCUGUCCUGGAACUGGCUGUAUAGACCCGGCGGGCCACAAACUCACAGAGAUCAGCCUGCCUCUGCCUCUCGAGUGCUGGGAUUAAAGGUGUGCACCCCCACGCUCAGCCUGUUUUCAAAGCUUUAUUUCACAUAUGAGAGAAAAUCAGUGGUGCUUGCUUUUCUGAAUCUGAAAUUUGCACAGCGUGAUGAUCUCUUCAAGGCCAAAUAUAAACUCCACUGUGUCUCUGAACCAAUUCUCUUCAGCCCUUAAGCCUUUGCACUUCAUAGUCUA